rfam:Nematostella vectensis strain CH2 x CH6 NEMVEscaffold_25_Cont4483, whole genome shotgun sequence.
AGCUUUGCGCAGUGGCAUUACCGUAGCUGAUGAGGUCCAUCCGAGGCGCGGUUAUUGCUGAUUGAAAACUUUUCCCAAUACCCCGCGAGACGACUUGAAAUAUAGUCGGCUUUGCAAUUUUUGAAGGCCUUUACAAAGG